ensembl:lncRNA
UAGAUUGAAGGUUUCUUAACCUUAAGAAGCGACUAGCUAGGAUGUAGUGAAGCUUAAAUAUCAGUUACAGGCCAUAACCAUAAGUCUUGAGGUACAAAAGCUAAAUAUACAUUUAUGCUGUAUCUCCAUACUAGUUUACUGGCCUUACCCAUGUUCAUAGCCUGGAUUUUGUGACUUAAUCUUCAAAAGGUGAUCAAGUCUCAGAAGCUAAGGUAACCUCAAAUUUAGAAAUGAAUUAAUAAUUCUAUUAAUAGAAUAUGGAUAUAUUUAAGUUUCCUUUUACUUAUAUAUGCACAUUUUGCUUUAGGCAUGUAGAUGGGUGAAUGUGUCAUUUCUUAUAAGGUCAUUAAUGAAGUCAACUCUUUCAUGCCUAGUGACUUCAUGUGAGGCUACUAGGCUUUCUUGGUUUUCCACUCACCAUUAAAUACCACAAUGAGAAUUGCUCAGCUGUGACAAAUUAAGAUUAUUCAUAAUAAUUUAAUGGCAUGGAAUAUGAAAUAGUGCAUUUUGGUUUCAUUACUAUAGGACUUUGUUCCAGGCUUCAUUCGCUUAAAAUAAGCAUUACAAUAUAAAACCUUUAUAUAGCAUUUAUAUGAUUACUUUUACUUACUAGCUAUUGUGUAAAAGAUUCCUUAACCACGGUGCCAGUGUAAAACCAAGGUAAAAAGCUGUCCUCCAUGGGGAUUUGGUCUGCUCUGUGGUCUACUCUAGUUCUAUUUCUGCCUCUACCACACACACCAAGCAAGCCGCACUAUUUUGUAUACUCAAUAAUAUGGCUCUCCACAGCACUUAAAACCAACAGGCUUAUUUUACAACUUCUGUCAGCUUAGGAUGGACUUGGUUGUUUUCUCAUAGUUUUUCUGAGAAACUCAGAUCUUGCUUUGCUACUUCCUCAAGUUCCUUUCUUUGACCCGUGUUCUAGGAGACUGCUCUAACAAUAACAUGGAAAUCAUUAUAUUCCACUAAUGUCCAAAGAUCAGGACGCCCAUGAGCUUCCUAAGAUCCACAGCAGAGCCUUUAGAUUUCCAAGUAUUUGAAAGCUCAUCUGCUUUGAUACUUAAGACUGGCUAAUACCAAGUCAUGCCCAAACCUGAUCAGAAUCAAGAACAUCAACAUUCUUGUCUUUAGUCCCGUGAAGAGAGCUUCAGCUAUCAGGAUCUGCCUGGGAACACCUACCAAGCAUCAACAGGACCUGGUGUCUCAGGAAACAAUGACAAACACAACAGUUUAAAGAAUUAAAACUGGCUGUACCACCACCCUCUUUGUUCCCUACCAUAAUUACUCUGAUGUUAUGGGUUGGCAGCCUGGAGGGAUGAACUAGGCUCUAGUUCUUGUUCUCAAUAGUUUCUUUUAAUCCACACACAGAGGAUUAUAAACUAUCAGCUCUAUCCUUGGGACAACGCUUGUAGCUUCACUGUCUUCUUCUCAGGCUUAAACAGCCUAAUUAAGUGAGUAAAUAGCUUAAUUACUUGGCUCCAGAACCAAGUCUUUUACUAUUUUCUCUGGUCCAACAAAACAAAUUUUAUUCUAAUUAGAGGGACCCAGAACAAACAAAGGAGAAGCAGUCCUGACUAAGUCAAAAAUCUAGAGGUUAAAUUAUUUUCUCAAAUGGCAAGAGUCACAAUCUAAUGCAGUCUAGUUGUAUUAGGGGGACAGGAGCAUGAAAGGGAUAACAAGAGAGAGAAGAGCAGGCCAUAUCUAGAAAAACACUACCUGAAUAUUCUGCUUACUCAUUUUUCUCAACCUGACAGGAGAAAGAUUUGUGGAAAUCAACAGGUUAUUAGGUAUAGAGUCUAGAACUCAGGAGUAAAACUACAGUAUCUUCCCAGUUCUGUUGACUUCAUAAGCUUCUUCUUCUACGUGAGGCAGUACCUUUCAGAAAUACAUUCUCUUCCACCAGUAAAUACAGUAGCAUGCAGGGCAAAGUACAAUACAAUGUGCAAUUGGGAGAUAGCUUCAACUAGCUUGCUGGUUACAACUUCUUCCUCGCUAAUGGUUUGAUGAACUGCCUUGAGUCAUAGGCGUCGUCUCCAAGGUAAGUUAUACUGUCUGAGUUCAGGUAUCUCAUUUCAGGUUAAGUGCUGGUUUUUGUUUAUUUUUUGUAAUUUCUCAUAAACAAAUGCUUAAGUUUUCCUUGUCCUUGUAUUUGGAUACGCAUAAAAAGUAGUAGCCUCAUUCCUAUAAAAAUUUGUAAUUGUUGUUAUAUGAAUGAGGAGUUAAGCCUCUGGAAGGCUGAAGGCCCAUCAGAAAACCCAUACUUAAAUUUGAAUUUUAUGAGUGCUUACAACCUGGCUCAUGAAACUACUUUUCUUCUCCUUAUCAUCACUAAUCUUAACAUUUCUCCUACAGUUCUAUGUUAAUGCUUUACUCGCUCUAGCCUACAAAGGAAGACACCAUCAGUUGAGUUACAGCCAUCAAAAGAUACCUGUCUGAUUACAACAGUGGAAUACAAUAGGAAGGGCAACAAUAAUAGCAUAACAACAAAGUUCUAGGCUACAGCAAGAAAGAAUAGGCUCAAACACAGCAGCUACAGACACAGAAGCAAAGCAAAGAAUCUACUUACCUGUGGAAGACCACAAGUACACAGGGAGCCCCAGCAAGGUAAAAUUGCCCCCACUGCCAACCCUUAAAUGAGGCCUAGAAGGAGUAGCUCCUGACUCCACCCCUUCUGGUCACUCAGGUACAUUUUAUGCACCUGAGCUCCACUGGGUUGGCCCUGCCUUCACACUAGGUGCUUGAUGACUGCUUCAAGCCAUGACUUAGCAUUUCUGCUACACUGAUGUAUGUGGGUGUUUUAAAUACUGCUAGCGUUUGGAUGCAGCUCUAAAAAAGUUUUGGAAGUAGUCUUGCUUUAUGUGUGCAGAUGGUAUAUAUAAGGAACUCUUUUCUUGGUGUAGGUGGGGAGGUUGGAAAGAACUGUUAGAAAGCUAAUGCAAGCAAGUUUGUGUUUUAAUUGUGAUUCUAGCAAUAAAGAAAAGCGAGCAAUUAAAUAAUGUGGGAAUGCAUAUCAUGUACAUUUCAAAGGGUAUUUCAUGUGAUCAAGCUUUACUCAUAGUAGCACUGGUUAGUUUUAUGCUGGAAUGUUUGUGCAUAUAUGCAUUUUUAAAAUAGAUACUGUAGGAUCAUACAGUUGUGGGGUUAGUACUCUGAUUUAUGAUUUUCAAGUUAAGUAAAAAAUUAAGUCAUGUAAAAGGGCCUGAUGAUGUAACAUUUCCAAUAUCAGAAAAAGAUACCUUCCUUGCUUUGAAGAUUAAGCUUACACUGCUUAAAAUGUGGAAGUGAGAGUUUGUCUUCUACGUACUGCUGCUAACAUCAUUUCUGUGUGUAACCCUUACGGCUGAGAGCUGGCCAGGUGUCUGUCUUGCUCUGAUAUAUGAAAUUCAGAAGAAAUCCUCUCCCCCCCCCCCCAAAAAAAAAGUCAGCAAUGAAACAGUGAUGGAAAAAAAAAUAACAGGUCAAAUUCUCGAUAAUAUUUAAUGUAAUCUGUGACUGAAAUAAAAACUAUGGGAGAAACAUCAAGUAAAAUUUACUUCCCCCUUAGUUACAAUGGUCAGGGAGAGUCAUGUAUUUUUCAGAUUUCCAGCAACAAUAGUGAGGGCUUCCAAUGGAAAUCCAGGAACAAGUAAUAACGUACUGGCAAAACCUGAACUCUUCUAACUGCAUGCAGAAAAUACAGAAUCAGAUCAUUAAAUGUUUUCUACGUGCCAAAGGCUGUUUUAAGAAGAUUCCUUGACUGCUUUGCAUUAGAAAAGUUAGUUAUGUGUUACCCAAAUGAGUGCUUUAUCCAGUCAUACGAACAAACUGCAGAUUUGUUUUAAAAAAUCUUGAGGAAACAGCUGAGGUAAAUUGGGCUAAUUAAAACUUACUGCAACUUAGUUUUGAAUCUGUUCAGGAAACUUUGUGGUUUGUAGUGUUUUCAGUGAGGUUUAUUAUUCUCUCUAAGACUAUGAAGGUGGUUUCCCAGACCUUCUUGUGGCAAAGUAUGAGCUCCCCUAUGUCCGAAGGUGUUUGUUCGAGUAGGUGAAGAAGGGUAGGAAGUUGCUGCCUUGGAAAUUAUGUGAAUUCACUGUUUGUGGGCUGUGUAGUAAAUUGAGAUUAUUUC